rnacentral:rRNA from 1 species
UACGUAGGUGGCAAGCGUUGGCCGGAUUUACUGGGAGGAAAGAGCGCGCAGGCGGCCAAGUCAGUCGAAUGUGAAAGCCCCCGGCUUAACUGGGGAGGGUCAUUCGAUACUGCUCGGCUCGAAGACAGGAGAGGGAAGUGGAAUUCCCGGUGUAGUGGUGAAAUGCGUAGAUAUGACAUAGAACACCGAUAGCGAAGGCAGCUUGCUACACAAUCAUUGACACUGAGGCACGAAAGCGUGGGGAUCAAACAGG